GACGAACGCUGGCGGCGUGCUUAACACAUGCAAGUCGAACGGUAAGGCCCUUCGGGGUACACGAGUGGCGAACGGGUGAGUAACACGUGGGUGAUCUGCCCUGCACUUCGGGAUAAGCCUGGGAAACUGGGUCUAAUACCGGAUAGGACCACUGCCUGCAUGGGUGGUGGUGGAAAGCUUUUGCGGUGUGGGAUGGGCCCGCGGCCUAUCAGCUUGUUGGUGGGGUGAUGGCCUACCAAGGCGACGACGGGUAGCCGGCCUGAGAGGGUGACCGGCCACAUUGGGACUGAGAUACGGCCCAGACUCCUACGGGAGGCAGCAGUGGGGAAUAUUGCACAAUGGGCGAAAGCCUGAUGCAGCGACGCCGCGUGAGGGAUGACAGCCUUCGGGUUGUAAACCUCUUUCAGCACCGACGAAGCGCAAGUGACGGUAGGUGCAGAAGAAGGACCGGCCAACUACGUGCCAGCAGCCGCCGUAA
rnacentral:rRNA from 1 species